rnacentral:rRNA from 1 species
UCCCAGUGAGAUCCAAAGUACGGCGAGUGAGCGGCAAAAGCUCAAAUUUGAAAGCUAGCACCUUCGGUGUUCGCGUUGUAAUUUGAAGAUAGUUUCCUUGAGUAGUCCUUUAUCUAUGUUCCUUGGAACAGGACGUCAUAGAGGGUGAGAACCCCGUAUGAUUUUGGAUACUACUCUUUGUGGGAUUCUAUCGAAGAGUCGAGUUGUUUGGGAAUGCAGCUCUAAGUGGGUGGUAAAUUCCAUCUAAAGCUAAAUAUUGGCGAGAGACCGAUAGCGAACAAGUACAGUGAUGGAAAGAUGAAAAGAACUCUGAAGAGAGAGUGAAAAAGUACGUGAAAUUGCUGAAAGGGAAGGGCUUGAGGUCAGACUUGGUGUUUAAUGAUUAUCAGUUCUUCUUGGACUGUGCACUCGUUUUUCACCGGGCCAAUAUCAGUUUUAGCGGUAGAGUACCCCUUGAAAUGUGGCUUCCUUCGGGGAGUGUUAUAGUCUUGGGGAGAUCUACUUGCUGGGACUGAGGACUGCGCUUCGGCAAGGAUAUUGGCGUAAUGACCUUAAGCCGCCCGUCUUGAAACACGGACCA